UUGUCUUUCCCCUAACUGUAAGUAAACACAAAACCCCCAUUAAAACACUAGCCACAAAACAAUAAGAUCGUAACAAUACAAGACUUAUCGAACAAACGCAAUUAAACGUUGCACAAAAAGGAGACAAAUUGGAAAAACCAAAAAUAAGAGGAAGAUACAAAAAUUCGGCAGAGGGGAAAAGAGAAACAGACCGUCAAAACCUGAGAAAAAAUUUGGGAAAAACAGAAAGAAUAAAAAUGAAAUAAAAUCUAAUUAAAAACCCACUAAUAUCCUAACUCCCCACUAAUUCACCUCCAACUACCCUAGAAUCCCAG
rnacentral:lncRNA from 1 species